rnacentral:rRNA from 1 species
CCUACGGGACGCAGCAGUGAGGAAUAUUGGUCAAUGGUCGGGAGACUGAACCAGCCAAGCCGCGUGAGGGAUGAAGGUACAGAGUAUCGUAAACCUCUUUUGUCAGGGAACAAAGGCGGGGACGCGUCCCCGGAUGAGUGUACCUGAAGAAAAAGCAUCGGCUAACUCCGUGCCAGCAGCCGCGGUAAUACGGAGGAUGCGAGCGUUAUCCGGAUUUAUUGGGUUUAAAGGGUGCGUAGGCGGACUGUUAAGUCAGCGGUAAAAGCCCGGGGCUCAACCCCGGCGGGCCGUUGAAACUGGCUGUU